ACGUUUUAAAACUAACCAACCAUACUCUUCUUUCCAGUCGACUAUUAUGGGAUAUAGAAAGUACCUGAAAGUAUAUUUUGGUACCUGUUUUAAUAUUCAGCUAGUUAGUCACAUGCGUGGAUGUAUAUCGUUGGUCACCAGUAUAGCGAUAGAGUGAAGUUGUGCUACAUAAAUUUCGGUACCAAAAUAUAUAUAUCACAUUUUGGUACGAAAUUGAUAAACAUAUGCGACCAUUCAGCCAACUACAGACUAUCUGCGAGGAUCUCCCGGAUAGUGAGUGACUGCUGCUUUGCCAUCAGGUUUAAUUCCAAGUCUCGCACCUAUUUUUCGAGAAACGUCACGGAUCCUUUGAAGACUAUCAUUCAACUGUUCAGUUGACUCCAUUAUGUGUGUCGACAGUGGUGUCCCUACGGUAGUGCGGCCGCGCCGGGUGACACCCACUGUUUUCAAAUGUAUAUUAAAAAGUUACAUUUUUGCCAAUUUUAUAACUGUAAACCCUUUUUAAAAUGGUC
rnacentral:lncRNA from 1 species